rnacentral:rRNA from 1 species
UACGUAGGGGGCAAGCGUUGUCCGGAUUUACUGGGCGUAAAGGGCGCGUAGGCGGUCAGCACAAGUCAGUUGUGAAAUCUCCGGGCUUAACUCGGAAAGGUCAACUGAUACUGUGCGACUAGAGUGCGGAAGGGGCAACUGGAAUUCUCGGUGUAGCGGUGAAAUGCGUAGAUAUCGAGAGGAACACCUGCGGCGAAGGCAGUUCUCUGGGACGGUACUGACGCUGAGACGCGAAAGCGUGGGGAGCGAACAGG